rnacentral:rRNA from 1 species
UACGAAGGGGGCUAGCGUUGUUCGGAAUUACUGGGCGUAAAGCGCACGUAGGCGGAUCGAUCAGUCAGGGGUGAAAUCCCAGGGCUCAACCCUGGAACUGCCUUUGAUACUGUCGAUCUGGAGUAUGGAAGAGGUGAGUGGAAUUCCGAGUGUAGAGGUGAAAUUCGUAGAUAUUCGGAGGAACACCGGUGGCGAAGGCGGGUCUCUGGGCCACUACUGACGCUGAGGAGCGAAAGCGUGGGGAGCAAACAGG